CGAGUUCUCGUUGAUGAUCGGUGCUUGCACCGAGAUUCAACAUGGAACGAGUGGCGGACGGGUGAGUAACACGUGGGUAACCUGCCCUUAAGUGGGGGAUAACAUUUGGAAACAGAUGCUAAUACCGCAUAGAUCCAAGAACCGCAUGGUUCUUGGCUGAAAGAUGGCGUAAGCUAUCGCUUUUGGAUGGACCCGCGGCGUAUUAGCUAGUUGGUGAGGUAAUGGCUCACCAAGGCGAUGAUACGUAGCCGAACUGAGAGGUUGAUCGGCCACAUUGGGACUGAGACACGGCCCAAACUCCUACGGGAGGCAGCAGUAGGGAAUCUUCCACAAUGGACGCAAGUCUGAUGGAGCAACGCCGCGUGAGUGAAGAAGGCUUUCGGGUCGUAAAACUCUGUUGUUGGAGAAGAAUGGUCGGCAGAGUAACUGUUGUCGGCGUGACGGUAUCCAACCAGAAAGCCACGGCUAACUACGUGCCAGCAGCCGCGGUAAUACGUAGGUGGCAAGCGUUAUCCGGAUUUAUUGGGCGUAAAGCGAGCGCAGGCGGUUUUUUAAGUCUGAUGUGAAAGCCCUCGGCUUAACCGAGGAAGCGCAUCGGAAACUGGGAAACUUGAGUGCAGAAGAGGACAGUGGAACUCCAUGUGUAGCGGUGAAAUGCGUAGAUAUAUGGAAGAACACCAGUGGCGAAGGCGGCUGUCUGGUCUGUAACUGACGCUGAGGCUCGAAAGCAUGGGUAGCGAACAGGAUUAGAUACCCUGGUAGUCCAUGCCGUAAACGAUGAAUGCUAGGUGUUGGAGGGUUUCCGCCCUUCAGUGCCGCAGCUAACGCAUUAAGCAUUCCGCCUGGGGAGUACGACCGCCAAGGUUGAAACUCAAAGGAAUUGACGGGGGCCCGCACAAGCGGUGGAGCAUGUGGUUUAAUUCGAAGCAACGCGAAGAACCUUACCAGGUCUUGACAUCUUUUGAUCACCUGAGAGAUCAGGUUUCCCCUUCGGGGGCAAAAUGACAGGUGGUGCAUGGUUGUCGUCAGCUCGUGUCGUGAGAUGUUGGGUUAAGUCCCGCAACGAGCGCAACCCUUAUGACUAGUUGCCAGCAUUUAGUUGGGCACUCUAGUAAGACUGCCGGUGACAAACCGGAGGAAGGUGGGGAUGACGUCAAAUCAUCAUGCCCCUUAUGACCUGGGCUACACACGUGCUACAAUGGAUGGUACAACGAGUUGCGAGACCGCGAGGUCAAGCUAAUCUCUUAAAGCCAUUCUCAGUUCGGACUGUAGGCUGCAACUCGCCUACACGAAGUCGGAAUCGCUAGUAAUCGCGGAUCAGCACGCCGCGGUGAAUACGUUCCCGGGCCUUGUACACACCGCCCGUCACACCAUGAGAGUUUGUAACACCCGAAGCCGGUGGCGUAACCCUUUUAGGGAGCGAGCCGUCUAAGGUGGGACAAAUGAUUAGGG
rnacentral:rRNA from 2 species